AGAUGUAUCGGUGAUUAAUACACUGAUUUCAAUGUAUUCCAAGUGUGGAGAUAUUGAUUCCGCUAGAUUUUUGUUUGAUGGCAUGUGUGACAGAACUCGUGUUUCUUGGACUGCAAUGAUUAGUGGGUAUGCUCAGAAAGGAGACCUGGAUGAAGCGUUGAGAUUGUUUUUUGUUAUGGAAGCAGCAGGUGAAAUACCUGAUUUGGUCACUGUGCUGUCAAUGAUUUCAGGCUGUGGGCAAAGUGGUGCACUUGAACUUGGAAAGUGGUUUGACAAUUAUGCCUGUUCUGGUGGAUUAAAAGACAAUGUAAUGGUCUGUAAUGCAUUGAUAGACAUGUACUCUAAAUGUGGAAGUAUUGGUGAUGCUCGAGAGCUCUUCUAUGCUUUACCUGAGAAAACUGUUGUUUCUUGGACAACAAUGAUUGCCGGUUGUGCUUUAAAUGGAGAAUUCGUAGAAGCUUUAGACCUUUUCCAUCAGAUGAUGGAAUUGGAUUUGAGACCAAAUCGCGUAACAUUUUUGGCUGUGCUUCAAGCUUGCACUCACGCAGGCUUCCUUGAGAAAGGAUGGGGCUAUUUCAAUCUGAUGACAAAGGUAUAUCAGGUAAAUCCUGAAUUAAACCAUUACUCUUGUAUGGCAGACCUUCUUGGAAGAAAAGGGAAGCUGAAGGAAGCAUUAGAUUUUGUUCAAAGCAUGCCUAUCAAAUCUGAUGCUGGUAUAUGGGGUACAUUGCUUUGUGCUUGCAAGAUUCACCGAAACAUAGAGAUAGGUGAAUACGUGGCUUAUCGUCUGUUCGAAUUGGAGCCCCACUCUGCAGCCCCAUAUGUGGAAAUGGCCAAUAUAUAUGCUUUGGGAGGAAGAUGGGAUGGAGUAGCAAAUUUAAGAACGAUGAUGAAACGUAACCAGGUGAAAAAGUUUCCAGGGCAAAGCCUUGUUCAUAUUAAUGGGAAGACUUGUACGUUUACAGUUGAAGAUAGGUAUCACUCUGAAUCUGAACUAACAUACCCAAUAUUAGAUUGUUUAGCAUUGCACUCUAAGGAGGAAGCAUAUUCAUCACAUUUAAAGGGGAUUCCGGAGCAUGAAGCUGGAUGACACUUUUAUCAUUUUGACCCGCAUACAUUAGGCAUUGGAAUUUUAGUAUCUGGAUUUUGGAGGGAGAUACAUGUAGAAAAUUGCUUAUGAACCAUUUUUCAUUUCACAUUCUGAUGUUAAAGGAAUUUUAGGAUGAAAUUUUAUAGCACGUACAAUUACAGAAGAAAUAUAAUUGAAUUAUUUCAGAUGUUUUUUAGUAUUAUCACACUUCUGGUUUCUUUGGGGAGAUUGAAGUGUAGAAAGUCAUAUAUAUAGGGGCAUUUCUAUAUGAUAGUACUGCAGCUAUUUAUUUAUUUUUUUAAGUUACAUUCUUUUGUAGGAUAAAUAAAAGUAUAACGAAGGGAAGUAUAGAUCAUCUUCAUUAAACUUACAUAAGGAAGAAAAAUAAAACCACUAACAAAAUUCAGAAACAAAUCAAUAGACAACAAUCACAUUCAAUUUCCUUCUCAUUCUUUCAAUUAUUAGUAGCAUGACAAAUCUUCUUCCCACCUAUGUAAGGAAGUUUAUUUUUGACAUGUUUUUAAUCCUCAGGAUUAAGAGGAAACUGGUUAGCUGUCUUGGUAUAUUUUGGAGGAUGAGCACCUUCCUUGCAAAGAUAAUAACAAUGACAAUUUGGUUGAUGGCAUGCACCCCAGGCAGGUGUUGUGGGAUGCAAAUGAGUGCAAAAUUGAUGGCAUUCUGGUUGCUUGCAUGGAGAGGGUGAGCCUGGUACCUUCUCAUUUUUGCAUACAUGCAACCAUCUAUGGCUUUCACCUGUAACAACACCUCAAACUAGUCAUAUAUAGGAUCUAAAUAAGUUUUAUUGUUUUGAUAAUUUUUAAACAAACUUUCUCCAGGUUUUCCAAAACGGAAAGAUAGUGUCGACAAUUAUAAAGCUCAGAUAUAUGAGUUUCAAAACGUGUUAAUGUUUAAUAAAGUGAGUUUUAUGUAUAAAUAAUUACCUUGAUUAAAGGAGAUAAAAGUGAUGAAGAGGAUUAAAGCUACAGAAAGAGGCCUCAUCUUUGAUUGAAACGAAUUUGAAUUAUUCCGGAUAAAAUUGAAGAAAUUAAGAGAAAGAGUUCCCUUACAUACAAGGGCGAGUGCGUGCUUUGGCUUCGAGUAAAUUAUAUUUAUUAAAGGAAGGCAAAUCCGAGAAAUUUAUGAAAAUGAUCUGGCGUAGCAUAUCUUGAAGUUCUAGUGCCUAAAUUGCUGCAAUAAUUUAUAUAACGCUGAUUUUUUCCCCGUGUAAUAACAUAUUUAAGGAAGAAAAAUAAAACCACUAACAAAAUUCAGAAACAAAUCAAUAGACAACAAUCACAUUCAAUUUCCUUCUCAUUCUUUCAAUUAUUAGUAGCAUGACAAAUCUUCUUCCCACCUAUGUAAGGAAGUUUAUUUUUGACAUGUUUUUAAUCCUCAGGAUUAAGAGGAAACUGGUUAGCUGUCUUGGUAUAUUUUGGAGGAUGAGCACCUUCCUUGCAAAGAUAAUAACAAUGACAAUUUGGUUGAUGGCAUGCACCCCAGGCAGGUGUUGUGGGAUGCAAAUGAGUGCAAAAUUGAUGGCAUUCUGGUUGCUUGCAUGGAGAGGGUGAGCCUGGUACCUUCUCAUUUUUGCAUACAUGCAACCAUCUAUGGCUUUCACCUGUAACAACACCUCAAACUAGUCAUAUAUAGGAUCUAAAUAAGUUUUAUUGUUUUGAUAAUUUUUAAACAAACUUUCUCCAGGUUUUCCAAAACGGAAAGAUAGUGUCGACAAUUAUAAAGCUCAGAUAUAUGAGUUUCAAAACGUGUUAAUGUUUAAUAAAGUGAGUUUUAUGUAUAAAUAAUUACCUUGAUUAAAGGAGAUAAAAGUGAUGAAGAGGAUUAAAGCUACAGAAAGAGGCCUCAUCUUUGAUUGAAACGAAUUUGAAUUAUUCCGGAUAAAAUUGAAGAAAUUAAGAGAAAGAGUUCCCUUACAUACAAGGGCGAGUGCGUGCUUUGGCUUCGAGUAAAUUAUAUUUAUUAAAGGAAGGUAAAUCUGAGAAAUUUAUGAAAAUUUAUUGAAGUUCUAGUGCCUAAAUUGCUGCAAUAAUUUAUAUAACGCUGAUUUUUUUCCCCGUGCAAUAACAUAUUAGUUUUAGAAUCAGUCAUUAAGUUCAUGACCAAUCUACUCGACAGGAAGUGCUUGUUUCAUGACCUUUGUUGGGAUUCUGAAAUAAAAAAUAUUUAUAUUUUGUGUGUGAGUAUUGACUUGGAAACACCGUGACUUUAGCCCCGGGGUGCCUUACCCUCAUGAUAAGUUGAACUCUAGUAACAAUAGAAGGUAUUAAGUGGCUAAAAUUUCUCAUCCUAUUCAAACCUUUAAGGAAAAAAAGAAAUUAAAAUUCUGACAUGUGAUUCUAUCACGAUAUCGACAUGAAUUUUUAAUUAUUAUUUUUAUUUAGGUUACCAGACCCCAACCAACCCCACACACAUACAAAAUGGGAUGCACUAGUCUUUUGGUGUUGUCAUCUCGUUGACUAUGUUUUUGUUCUUCCUCAAAAUGCUGAGGAAAUGGCUUGGGAGUAGACUCUGAAUAGAUCCCUUGCUUUUGCCUGUGCAUACACUGUGGCGGAAAAAUAAUAAAAACAAAUAAAAACUUUAUUACCAUAUAUAUUUUAUUUGUUUGUUUUAUUUUAAUUUUAUUUAUUAGUAACUGCUUUAGGCUAAUCCAGAGAUCGAACAAACAACAUUACCAUUAAGUGCUAAGGCGAUAGCUUGGAACAGCCAAAAGAUGUUUGGCCCGAGGAGUCACAAGACCAAACUCUUCUGUCAUGUCCAAUUCAGUUGGCAACAUUCCCUCAGGAAGCUCCCAAUCAAAGCAAUGCACCAGCUGUGCGGUCACUUGCUUAACGACGGUGAGUGCCAAUUGGAUUCCAGGGCAACCCCUGCGGCCAGAACCAAAUGGCAAAAGCUGGAAGUCAUGUCCGAGAACAUCAACACUACUCCCAACAAAUCUUUCCGGAAAAAACGUCUCAGGAUCAGUCCAGGCUUCAGGAUCUCUUCCAAUUGCCCAAGCGUUUACAAUUACUCGCGAUUUUUUGGGUAUGUGGAAUCCGUUAACUGUGCAAUCUUCCAUAGAUUCGUGUGGAGCCAUCAAUGGCGUUACAGGAUGAAGCCGCAGGGUUUCCCUGACAACCAUGUCUAGGUAUUCUAGGAUUUCCAAAUCUGAUUCUUCAACCAUUCUUUUUAAGCCCACAAUAUUUUCUAGCUCUCUUUGUAGUUUCUUCAUCACAGCAGGAUGCUUGAUGAGUUCUGAAAGUGCCCACUCGACUACCGUUGGUGAAGUGUCUAUUGCUCCCGCAAGCAUGUCCUGAAAUUGAGGAAACCAUAAAUGACUGAAGCAUAUAUCUAGGGUUAAAAAUGACUCAUGCAGAUGAUCUUCUAUGGCAUGUAUAUUGCUAUUUAUGUUUACUGGCCAAGAUCAAUUCUGAUAUUAUGUAUCAAUCACAUGUCUAUAUUUACUCAUGUGAAAGCCAACACGAACACUACAACAAACAGUUAUAUCACCGAUGAAAUAUAUCCGAGGGCGUAAAAUACCUUUGAUAAUAAAUACUUUUUCCUAAGGUGUAAGAUGGCCGUCGGAUAAGGAUGAAAAUAUAAUCAAUAUUCCCGAGGGCAAUUUGCCCUUGAUGAUAAUGAAUGCUUUGUCGAAAAUGCUUGCUAGACUUAACUAGAAGCACCCCAAAAUUUACACACUUCGGUCUUUGAAGUAGAGUACUAAAACCACAAGCCCACAGCCAUAACUUCCAAUAAUUUUUUUCUUUGGAGUAGCGUACUUGGCAAAUUUUUUUCUUGUAAAUUUAAUUACUCUUGGUAAAAUUAAAAACCUAAAAGAAUGAAAUACAAAUAAAAAGAGGAAAUAUCGGUUUGCUAAUAAAGUACGUAGAACAUCCAAGAAACUGAUUAAAAAAUAGAUGACCCAAAAAUUGACAAUUAAUACUCCUUCGUAAGAAACAUGAAUCGGAUAAUUUUGUAGCUAAAAUACAAAAUUCAGUCUCUGAUACCUUUUCGUUUUACACUUAAUCUAAGAACUUAUAAUGGGUCCCCUCUAGAAGGGGGGACAAAUUAUUCAAAAUAUGUGCAGCAAGAGUCUAGAAAUCAUCGGUUCUCUUGAAACUUAUGUUGGUUAUGGGAUUAAAGAAUUACUUAAUCGUACGAAAACCCAGUGGCGUAGGCGUGGCCAUAUUUUAUACAUAGCGAGGGCAAAUUUAAUAUACUUAAAGAAUGCGAUUUGAUGUGCUUACCAUAACUACGGCUUUGAUAUGCUCUCGAUCGAUCUUUUUCUCAGUGUCUUCUGAUCCCUCGAAGCUCAACAUCACGUCAACGAAAUCCUCGGUUCUAUUUUCAUCCUUAGAUUGAAUAUGCUCAUCGAUAAUCUUCUCCAUAAACGCAUCAAACACCUUGGCAACAGCCUUCGAACGCUUUGUCAGGCCCUGAAGAUCAAGUCCUGCAAUUUGAGGAAUGUAAUCACCCAAAUUAGGCUUCCCAACCAAUUCGAAGCCCUCUCGAAUCACAGUCUCAAACCCUCCCGAAUCGAAUUCAUUAUCCGAACGUUUCUUCCCAAGUACCAUUCUACAGGUCAUGUUAGUACUCAAAGCCGAAAGCUUGGCACUUAUGUCAACCACACAACGGGCAUGCGCCGCCUCUUUGAAGUACUCAAUCAAAAGAUCAAGGUCUUCUUUUCUUGUUGGUUGAAAAUAAUUGAUCUUGGCAUUACUCAACAGAUUUUGGGUGCAAAUUUUUCGGAUUUUUCUCCAAUAAGACCCAUAUGGGGCCAUUGCAAAAUUCUUUUGCUGAUAAGACAUAUACUUAGUAGCUUGAAGGGGAGGCCUGCUGGCAAAGAUAAGGUCAUGUGUUUUGAGAAAUUGCUCAGCUGCUUGUGGUGAAGAGACAACAAUUGUAGUCAUUAAGCCCAAGCGUAAGUGCAUGAUGGGGCCAUAUAUUUUGGCUAGUUUAUGUAAAGCUCUGGGAGGAAAUUUGCCCAACAAAUGAAGGCAUCCGAAAAUUGGAAACCCUUUUGGCCCUGGAGGUAAUAAUUUUCUGUUCUUUUUGUUUGUUUUCGAAGAAAAUGCUUGGAGGAAAAAGAAAAUUGCAGCUAGAGCAAGUAAAGUCGAUAACCACGACAUGAUGAUCUAUUAAUGCUAGGAAGUUGAGAAUCCAGUUUUCAGUGAUGAAGAUGCAGAAAUGGUGCAACUGGGACAUUUAUUUUUAUAGUUGGAGAAUUUGUUCGCAGUCAAGAGAGUUAGUGAAGGUGUUUAGUGAUGAGCAUAUAAUACAUACAUAUUUUACCCUUAAUUAUAUAAUUGCUAGUUAUGUUUAUUUAUUAUUUUUAAUUAAUUGAAUGAUUUUAUUGAAUAGGGAAUUAAUUGGGGAUUAGAAAUAAAAAGUACAAAAAGAAUAACAAUUUAAGGGAGUAUUAGUCGAAGCCGUGAUAGAGUUAAGAACCAAGAGCAUAUGAAAGCCAAGCAUGUGAAGCCAAGAGCAAUUUGCAUUUAAAAGGAAUUUCAAUUCUCCAAUUUAGUUGCACGUGCAUGGCAUUUUGGCAUUGCACUAUGUUAAAGGGGCCCGCAGUUGACUUUCAAAAGUUAGAAUUAAUGGCUUAUGGUAGCGUUAAAUUGGAAAAAAGAUUUCAAUUAGAAUUGAAAAAUGAUUUCUUUAGAAUUGUUGGAGAAGAAUUCGGUCAAUUUGCAUUAUAAAAGGAGGGCGGCCGCUAGAGGAAGAAAAAGGAAGCAAAGGCGAUUCGGUAGAGAGGAAAACGAAGAGCUGCAGCAAUUUACUUUUUCCAUGGCUGAUUUUAUUUUUUUUGUUGCUCUCAAUUCAAGUAUAUCUAGCUAAUUUUCUUAUACUGAGGUUAAGGAUGAAACCAUAUUCAAUGAAAUAAUUAUCUUUUUAUUUAAUUAAUUCCCUAUAUAUAUAUUUUUGAUGAUUGUGGUUUUUAUUUCACAUGAUUAGUUGGAUGUUAUUAAAGUCUUUUCAUCAAUUCUGUCAUGCAUUGUUGAUUGUUAGGAUUAAUAUUCGAUUAAAUCUAUGUUUGGAUCUAUAAAGUUUAUACAUGAUUAUCUUUGAUUCUAUAUCUUUUAUUAAAUUGUUUACAUAGAGUGCUUAGGGAAACUUUGACUCUUUGUUAUUUAAGAUGCUUACAUGGGAUGCUUAAAUAUCAUACUAUUAAGCAGAAAAAGAAUCUACAUUAGAUUUAAUUACUUGGGCUUAAUUGUUAUAUCCAUGAGAUGACAUAGAUUGAUUUCAAGUUGUCACUCUAAAAUUGGGGAUUAAUUAAUAAUUAGAUAAUUACUAGUUGAAUAGUGGUAAAUUCUGAAACCUUGGUAAUUUUUAUCUUAUUGAAUUCUCCUUUAUUUUAAUUGUUUCCUUAGUUUAAUUGGUUUAAUUUUCUUAGAAACUCAAUUUGGUCAACUAGGUUAGCAUUAAUAUUAAUUUUAGAUUUAAAUUAGACUUUUUAAUUUAUAACAAUUCUCGUAAGAUCGAUCUCGUUACCACUACUCUAUUUCUAAAUUCGUGCGUUUGUGAGUAUAUAAAAAUUUUUCACGACAUUUAGCUUUUGUGAUAUCCUUCUUUUGCUUCCAUUGUUGUUAUUGGUUGCCGUUUUUGUCGGACUUCACAAGAGAAAGUGACAAGUUUAAAAGAAAGAGUUGCAGUGUCGUCACGACACUCGUACCCAAAAUUUCGGAAAAUUUUGAAAUAAUAGAUUAAGUGAUAGAAAGUGAGUGCCCAUUAAUGACUGGCAACCCCUUGGAAAAAAAUUGCCUUAUGUUUUAGUCGCGCGUCUUCGUUUAAUUUAUUUUUAUAGAUGGAGAAUUUGUUCGCAGUCAAGAGAAUUAGUGAAGGUGUUUAGCUUUUGUGAUAUCCUUCUUUUGCUUCCGUUGUUAUCGGUUGCCGUUUUAAAAUAAUAGAUUAAAUGAUAGAAAGUGAGUGCCCAUUAAUGACUGGCAACCCCUUGGAAAAAAAUUGCCUUAUGUUUUAGUCGCGCGUCUUCGUUUAAUUUAUUUUUAUAGAUGGAGAAUUUGUUCGCAGUCAAGAGAAUUAGUGAAGGUGUUUAGCUUUUGUGAUAUCCUUCUUUUGCUUCCGUUGUUAUCGGUUGCCGUUUUAAAAUAAUAGAUUAAAUGAUAGAAAGUGAGUGCCCAUUAAUGACUGGCAACCCCUUGGAAAAAAUUAAUUUGACUUACGUUUUAGUCGCGCGUCUUUAUUAUUCUACUUUUUAUUGAUAUAAAAUUAUCCAACUUUUUUUUUUCUCCCAAUCAGGCAGUGACAAAGCUUCACUGUAAAUCGAGACUCUAGAUUUGGCGUCUUCCUCUUCAUUUCUAUUUCUUUUUUCAAGUUCAUUUCACAUAAAUUAACAAUUUCUGAUUCUCCCACACAAGACCGCCAACUGUACCUCAAGAUUGAAGGUUUGGUUACCCUGUCUUAUCCUUUUCAUCUUUUUUAAAGUUUAUAUUAUUUGUGCUUGUUUCUUUAAACCGUUAUUGAUCUAUGAUUGAAUUAGAUGGUAUAAGAUAUAAUUAUUUUUUAUUUUCAUACAUUUAAGAUUUGAAUAGUAUUUAUUUUAUUUAUGUUGCAAAAUCUUUUUUUGUUUAUGUAUUAAAAAUUUUAACAUAAACUUCAAAUCUUGUGCUAUGAUCGAAUUAGUCCCCUAACCAAAAUUCUGAACUUACAACAUAACUUUUUAGCAACUACCAAAUCAAAUCUUGUGCUAUGAAGGACGGCUCUUUUCAGAGCUCUGCAUUCCAAUUCUUUAUUCUCGACAGAGAGACAAGAAAAGCAGAGAGGGCUGUGAGCUUAUAAAGAGAGAAAAAUUAGUUCCUCUUUUAUAAAUUUUUUUUCCCCCAGUUUUAAGUGAGAGAGGGAAAUAUUAGUAUGGGGUCCUACGAAGCAAUGUACAUAUGGCAUUGUAUUAAUAUUCGUUAAGGUGAAGCGCGCGGCUGCGUUGUUACAAUAAUUGAGUUUUAUCAAGUUUUACUUUAUUUUAUUUUUUAUUAUUACUAGUCAUUAAAUUAAUCACUAUUCCAAUUAAACUAAUUCCAAGCCUACUCUUGUUAAUAUUACAGGAAGAAGUUUGUGGAAACCUAUCUUGAUAUGUAGUUCAUCUGAAACUCAGUUUAGAGAUUAAUUCCAAAAAAUUAUGGAGAAGCCCAUUUCUAACCUAAGAGAAGUUUUACUAGGUUGUAACCGAAGAGAAGUUUUACUAUGACAACCUAGUAAUUUGAACUAUCACUCUUAACAGUAAUGAAUAGAGGUGUCAACCAUUAGGAUAAGGAAUGGUCGAUAGUUCAAAGCCAUUUUUUCAAUUUAUUAUUUUUGUUAUAUGUUUCAAGCCAAAUCAUAGGGGUGAGUUUGAUAAUGGCUCUUUUUUUCUUGUUGGUCACAUUUCAUGUAAAUCAAUUUAUUCGAAACCGGUACUUGAACUUGGUCGCUAAGAAAAUCCAAAACGCUACUUAAUUACAUUAGAUGAUAAUUAUGUGAAAAAAAAUUCUAAUUGCUGCUGGAGAAAGGGAAAGAAGUCAUGUAGAGACAGAUAGAUAGCUCACCUGUAAAUAUGAGAAAAGAGUGAGUGUUUGAUAACUGUUUUUAAAAUUAUUGUUGUUAGCUGCGCUAUAGCAAUAAUUAGAAGUGAAAAGUACUCGUUAUGUGUUAAACAAAUUUUAUUUUAAAAGUAUCGUGAGUUUUAAAAGUAAUUGCAUAUAUUUAGUAAAUCUUACUAUUUUAUUAUUGUAAGAUUGCAAAUGGUUAAUGGGGACAUAAUGUUAAAUGAAAUCUACUUAAAGAUUCAAAUAAACAUGCAUAUAUAAGUCUCCAGGAGCCAGGCCAGUUGAUUUUUAAGUAACUUAAUUUAGCUAGUCACCUGAUUUAAAAAUUGAUUUUGGCUUUGGUACCCCUCUAUCUUUUUUUCCUUAAAUCUACUACCAAAUGGGAUAAUUUUUCAAAAAAUGAUCUAAAAGAAUACUAACUAUUGAAAUGAUUUUUAACUUCUCAAAAUCAUUUUUGAAUUUCUCAAUAGCAGUCACAAACAGGCCCUAAUGUUAAAAAUUAUUGAGUAACGAUCAUAUAAAUUAUUUCAUAAGCUUUAAGCUUAUUGAAUAAAUUUUAUUGUUAAAGUUCUAAGUUCAAAAAGUUUAAUUUGGCUGACCACCUUAGUUCGACUCGCGGGAAUUACAAGAUUAUAUGAAAUUAAAAAUUUACCAAAACCUUUUAGAAUAAUUAUGAUACCGCACAAAUCAAAUAUUGAGGUACAAUAUCUACUUUCAAAUAUUAGUAAGCAAUCUUCUUUAAAAUAAUUGUUGGGUCGCAAAUGAUUUAAUUUAUUAAUUUGUUUUUUUUUUGUUUCUCUUAACACCUCCUCUAUGCUAAUCCAGAGAUUGAACAAACAACAUUAUCACUAAAUGUUUAGGCAAUAACUUGGAAUAGCCGAAAGAUGUUUGGCCCAAGGAGUCACCAGACUAAACUCUUCUAACAUGUCCAAUCCAGUUGGCAACAUUCCCUCAUGAAGCUCCCAAUCAAAGCAAUGCACAAGAUGUGCAGUCCCUUGCUUAACGAUGGUGAGUCCCAGCUACGGCCAACAACAAAUGGCAAAAGUGGAAAGUCACAUCCACAAAGAUCAACAUUACUCCCAGCAAAUCUUUCCAAAAAAACAAUUUCUCAGGAUCACUCUAAGCUUCAGGAUAUCUUUCAAUUGCCCAAUCAUUUAUAAUUACUUGCGAUUUAUUGGGUAUUUGGAAUCCGUUAAUUGUGUAGUCUCAAUAGAUUCGUGUGGAAUUAGCAAUGGUGCUACUUGAUAAAAACUGCAUGGUUUCCUUGACAACCACGUCCAAUUAUUUGAAGUUUUAUCUAAAUCUAAUUGUUCAACCAUUCUUUUUAAGCACAUAAUAUUUUCUACCUCUCUUUGCAAACUGUGGGAUGCUCUAUAAGUGCUGAAAGUGCCUACUUGAUUACCAUUGGUAAAGUGUUUAUUGCCUUCGAAAGCAUGUGCAAAAAUUAAGGAAACCAUAAAUAACAGAAGCAGAUGUUUAGAAAUCAUCAGUUCUCUUGAAAUUUUAAAUUAUAACGUAGAUUAUGCCUUAAAGAGUUACUUAAAUGUGCCAAAACCUUUAUACCUAGUGGGGGCAAAAUUAAUUUACUUAAAGAAUGUGAUUUGAUGUGUACUUACCAAGAUUGUGCCUUUAGUUUGCUCUCGUUCAAUCAUGCGCUCGGUUUCUUCUGAUCCCUUAAAGCACAACGUAACGUCAACAAAAUAUUUGGUUCUAUUUUCAUCCUUGGAUUGAAUAUAUUCAUUAAUAAUCUUCUCUAAAAAUGCAUCAAACACCUUGGCAACAACCUUUUUAUGCUUUUUCAUGCCUUGAAGAUGAAGUCUUGGAAUUUGAAAAGUGUAAUCACCUAAGUUAGGCUUUAUAGCCAAUUCCAUUCUCUCUUGAAUCAUAGUCUUAAACCCUUUCUCAUCGAAUUCAUCACUCUAAUAUCUCUUCCUGAGGACCAUUUUACUAGCCAUGUCAGCAUUCAUAGCAGAAUCCUUACCACUUAUGUCAACGACACAUUGGACGCACGUUGCCUCUUUGGUGUACUCAGUUAAAAGAUCAAGCGCUUCUUUUGUCAUAAGAUGGAAAUAAUUUAUCUUGACUAUACCUAAUGUUAGGAAAUUAAUGGAUGACGUAGACACAACUAAAGUGAAAUUGAGAAAUAAUAAUCAUCUAUUGACAUUGGAAUUUACGUGGUUUGUCUUUUAGCCUACGUCUAUGGGCAAGAUAUAAAGGUAAAAGUUUACUAGUUAAAUGGAGAUUACAAAUGUUAAAGUAUUUUAGCUUACCGCCAAAACCCCAAUACACCUAAUCUCUCAUUCAUUAAACCAAGAGCUUAAAGCUCUUACGAUACUCUCAAUCUCCAACUAUUGGCUCUAUCACUUAUCAAAUAGAUUGGGAAUUCAAGAAAAUGGGAUCGGAUACUCUUCCUUUGCACUCCAAUCUAUAGACCAAGCAAUGCCCACUUUCCUAGUUUUCAUUGGCGGAUAAUCAUAACUGAGAAAGAAUGUCCCUCUUAUCUAGGGAUGCAAAUCAACAAUGAUGGGCUUUAAAAGAGAAUAUAAUUUUUCACUAACAUUCUCGUUUGGUGCCAAAGUCAAAUGUUGCAUGCUAGCCACACGUCUCCAAUUUACUCAACACUUAAUAAUUCUAGAGUGCAUAUUUUUUAGAUUGUUCUCCAAUAAGACCCAUAUGGGGAAAUUGUAAAAUUCUUUAGGUAAUAAGAAACAUGCUUAGAAGCUUAAAGAGGAGGCCUGAUGGCAAUAAUAAGGUCACGUGUUUUGAGAAAUUACUUGGUUGCUUAUGGUGAAAAAACAACAAUUGUAGUCACUAAGACCAAGCGUAAGUGCAUGAUGUGGCCAUAUACUUUGGCUAGUUUAUGCAAAGCUCUAGGUGGAAAUUGGCCUAACAAAUGAAGGCAUCCGAAAAUUGGAAAACUUUUGGCCCUGGAGGUAAUAUCCUUCUAUUCUUUGUGUUUGUUUUCUAAGAAAAUGCUUGGAGGAAAAAGAAAAUUGCAGCUAGAACAAGUAAAGUCCAUAACCACAACUUAAUGAUCUUGUGAAGUCAAGAAUGUUGUGGACCGAAUUUGGUGCAUAACAAUGUUGACAAAUUAGCCAAAUGUUGCCCAAUUUUUCAAAUUGACAAGGGUGAGCUUAAUGCAAUAGUGCCAUUGUUUUUCCUAUAAAUAGAAGACACUUCUUUCAUUUUAAGUAUCUUAAAUUUGAGAGAAAUAUUUCAAAUGAAGAAUUUUCUAUAGUGAGCAAUUGAGAGAAUUUUCUUUCAAGUAUGUGUGAGAUUAUUGGGUGUAUUUGGGUUCUAAAAAGUGAAGUUUCUUUACUCAAAUAUUAUACUUUAAUAAUUGUUAGUAAUACAAUUAUUUUCUCUCGCUUUCGUGGACGUAGGCAUAAUUAUCGAACCACGUUAAAUUCUCGUGUCCUUUAUUUUUGUGAUUAUUUAGUGCGUUUGAUUCCACAUUACACAUAGAAUAAGUGGCACCAGAGCCUACAUGUGGUGUCAGAGACAGGUUUGCACUUGGGGUGUACAAUACUGUUCACAGAUACGGUACUGUUCACGAAUUUAGGGAGUUUGUACUUACGAGGAUUAGUAGCUUAUAUAGUGGUGUAGAUUUGUGCAUGUUUAGGAAAGUUAUGUCACAAUGGCAAUAAGAGUUUAAAGAGUCUAGGUUUUAAGAGGGACUACUAUGACUCCUACAAUCUUUCCUAGGAACUUUCCUUGCACGUUUUUCCAUAUGUAUUGAUCUCCCAAGUGAGAAUAGUUUAUUAAGAAAAUGGUAAAAAAUGAAACUUCCAAAAGUGGAGAGAGAUCUACUCAGAUUAUUCUAAGAGGCACUUCAGAUGGGAGGUGAAACUUGUCAUAUCACUAUUCAACACCUGUUAUAGGAGGCCAGAAGAUUGAUGUUGAAAAGUUUGAUGGAAAAAUUAACUUCGGCAUGUAGAGGCGUGAGGUUAUGGAUGCCUUUAUUCAAAUCGAUUUUGAUGUUGUUUUAAAAAAUAAAAGACACUUGUAAAAUAAAGAAAUUUAGGAUCGUAUGAACAAGAAAGCCUGUGGUUAGAUCAGAUCUUACUUGACCAAGGAGGUAAAAUAUCUGAUGAAAAAUUAGGAGUGUGCAAUGAUUUUACGGUGUACAUUAGAGGAAAAAUACCUACUAAAAAGUCUUAAAAAUCGUCUUCAUGUAAUCAGCUAGGUAUAUGGUUUUUGAAUGAAGCCCAGGGUUUCAAAUGCACCACAAUAUCUCAAGCUUUGAAAAGUUACUUCUAUAUUCGAAGAAUCUUGAUAAAGAUAUGAAGGAUGAAGUCAAUGCUAUAAUUCUACUGCACUCACUUCUAGAAGAAUAUAACUAUUUUGUGACUACUUUUUUAUAUGGGAAAAAUAUAAUCAUUUUCAAGGAUGUUUGCACAGUACUUAUCAAUUUGAAAAUUUAGAAUAAUGGUAAACAUUCCGAAAGACCAUCAUUUAAGGCUUUGUUAAUAAGACAUUGGAUGAUGGAGAAAAGGAAAAAGGCAGUGGAAAGAAUUCUUAGUCUAAAAAGCAAAAAUAUAGCUUAAGUGUGCCUUUUGUCAUGAAAGGGGCCAUUGGAGGCAAGAUUGUCUGAAAGCUUAGAAGAGAGAUGAGAAGAAACCAGUAGCAGUGAAUAUGGCAUGUAAAGAUGAAGAUUUUAACUAUUCACUAAGUAUUUUGCCUGCAACAUCUGUGAACUUGAGUUUUUUCUAAAAAAGAUUGAAUUUGGAAAGGCCGUGUUUCAUAUUCCGGUUUGUUUAACGCUUAGUAUAGAAAAUUGAGUGAUUCCUCGACAUAGGGUUUUUCAAAUUGUUAUGUCAAGGGAGAUGUUGAAGAAAGGAUGAAGUUUUCCAUUGUUUCUGAUUUUGAGUGAGGAGAAUUUCUUGAAGAAGUUUGUGCUUAGUUUUGAAGAUGAUGCAGAGGAGUUGUUCCAUGCUUACAAGGGCCACAAGUUGGGUUCUUUUUCUAGAGACCAACUAUUGCAAUGAGGACGGUUGUUUUGCCUAACAUAAACCUCUAAGUCUGAUGUAUUUUUUGGCACAGUAACAGAAGGUUUUGAGAGUGGGUGAUAGUAUGCAAUGUAACACCCAUUGGUUUGUUUCACCAUUCAUGAAGUGAUUUUUGGGCAUUUCAAAUGUUCUUGCUGCUAUGUGUUUGAGCAGCAUAGUUUUCAUUGUAGCUUUGAUUUAGAUAUAUUUGUGGUUAUUACGCUGAUUUCAAUGUAUUCCAAGUGUGGAGAUAUUGAUUCUGCCAUAUUUUUGUUUGAUGGCAUGUAUGAGUCUUUAGGGAUGAAAAAAUUACCCACCAAUUCAUAAACCAACCCAAACCCAUUCGCAAAAAUCUGCCCGCUGCGGGUAAUUUUGCAGGUUGCGAGCGGCUUUUGUAUUGCAAACUUAAAUCGAUCCAUUGUGAAUUGCUGGUGGGUUUGGUGUUGGAAGCAAUUCCGCUGGAUACCAACGCGAGGAUCCACCAACCUCCAUUCUUUAUUUUAAUUAUUUAUAUUUUUAUUUUAAUCACAAAAAUUACAUUAAAAAAUUUAAUCAUAAAUAUAUUAAAUUAAAGUUUCUAAUUUCUAGACGUAACUUAUCUCACUGCAACAUAUAUACAAUAAACUUUUAAUAAGUCGAAAUUUUAUAAUUUUUAUUACUAAUAUUUUAUUUUACUUUAAUUCAUUUUGUUUGUUUUGCCUUAACAAUAAUUGUAUAAGCCUUAACAAUAAUUGUAUAAAAUCUACUUGUUAAUAUUAUUGAUAAUACUUAUUUAUUGAUUAAAAAAUGAAGCAAAGUAUUGAUAUUAGUGAUGAUGAUUUGCCUACAAUAGAAAUAUUUUUGUGUUGGAUUAAUAUUUUUUAUGUAUUUUUUAAUGUUGAAAUUUUAAUUUCUUAUUUACAUUGAUAAAAUCUAGAAUUGAAUAUUGUUUGCCAAUAUUUUAAGCUAUUAUUAUAUAUUUAUAGUUUGAAUUAUAUAAUUUAAGUUUUUAUGUACUAUUAAAAAUAUUUUUUAUAUUAUUGAUUUUAAAUGAGGUGGGUUUGGUAAUUGUUAAAACCCACAGCAGACAGGUUUUUUAAAAAAAUAAAAACCCAUUAUAGGUUGCGGCGAGUUUGGUAAUUUAAUUUUUUUGUGGGAGUAAGUUUAACAAUGGUAACACCUCAGCGGGCGGUGCCCGCCAUUUCUGUGUAUGAUAGAACUCAUGUUUCUUAGACUGCAAUGAUUAAUGGGUAUGCUAUGUGUUUGAGCAGCCAAGUUUUUCAGAGCUAGUUUAUGGUCAUAUCUGGCUACGUAUUGGAAGAGAUGAAAGCAUCAAUCAAAUAGUGAACUGCCCUGUAAGGAGAUUAUUUUUUUCUUAUUCCCAGAACCGGUUAUUGUUUAACAAAAAAGGAUAAAAAUUGAAAAAACUUGUUGAUCAAAAUUGUAUUUUUCAGUGUUUGGGCUUGAGAAAGUGUUUAAUGAAAAAUGAAGAUUCCCAAUAAUAUAGGCCAAUUUUGCAUUUGAAAAGGUGUAGAAAUUUGUAGAAUAAUUUGACACAUAAAUGACUAAAUGGUUGUUUAAAAAUUUUCUAUGUUCGACACUUUUUUUCUUUGUUUUGAUAAGAGAUAUCAGGUUGGAUCAUAACUUUAAUUUAAUAUGCAUUGUUAAUCCCACACAAAAGUACGCCACACAUCAACUAAUCUAUCAUCACCAUUAGAUUCAAUAUAAUCAAUGGCUAAUAUUAAAGUCAGGAAAACCUUACCCCAUAUAUCUAUAAAUUCCGACAAUUCGAUCGUUCCUGAAGCAUUGAAGCAGUGAGCACAAAAUAAUUAUAACAAGCAAUGCCAAUGAACGGCGUUAUAAGAGAUAAAUUUACACACAAAAAGAAAACGGAAUCGAACUCUUUCAGAGUUUGGUGUGAACUGAUCAUCAUAUCAUGCGUUAGUUGGAUUUGGGACGCGGCGGAGAAGGAGCGUCAACUAUCAACAAGUAUGGUCCUUAAUUUGUCAUCCGCAAUAACGUGCGGGAUCCAACUACAGCACAGGGGCUCUUCUUAUUUCUGAUGAUUAGACUUUAGAGUGAUAGUGAAUUGAUGAGUCUGGGUGGACUUUUUCGAUUCUAAGCGUAAGUUCAUAUCAGGAAGAAUACAAAGAGUUAUGUGUAGGUUGGGUCUGGGUUUUCACAUAUUUUUUAAUUAUUUUUUUGAAAUUAUUAUAAACUUUUAACGAGUUAAUCAUCGAUAACGAAUUAGAAAAAAAUGAUUAUUUUAAAAUAAAAUAAAAAAUAACGUAAAUAAAAGUUUAUAAAUUUAAUUUAUUAUUAAUACUAUAGUUCAAGCAGAUGUUCUUAAUUAAUUAUAGCUUAAGAGAGAGUUUAGUUGUUAUAAUUUUAAGUUUUUUAAUUUUUUACUAUUUUUUAAAUUUAAAUUCAUAAAUUUAUAAUUUUAAAAAAUAGAGGUCUUGAUUUUUUUUCUUUUUCUUUUUAAACCCUUACCCAAGUCGUUAUGUGAAAGGCCGGUUAGCCCGGAUGUUUUUGUUAAGAGUCAGACUAUUAGCACACCUCCAAAAUCCUAUUGAAAUUGUUUUUUCAAUUUUAUUCCAUGUAAUACCAAAACUAUCCUUUUUUUAAUUUAACACUCUUUUCAUUUAUGGAUUUUUCAGUUUCCUCUCUUCAAACUUUCUUUAUUAUUUAAUUUCUAAAGCAAAAAAUCUAAAAGAAAAACUAAACGAAAGAGUAAGAAAAAAAUUAUAAAAUCUAAAAGAAAAACUAAAAGAAAAAGUAAGAAAAACUCAUACUUACAAAAUAAUGAAUAUUUUAUGAGUUUAAUACAAUUAUCUUACCUAUAAAUUUUGAGUUCAUUGGGUUCAAAAAUUAGUUUGAGAAUUUUUAAGAAAUUAGUUAAAUUGGGGUAAAAUUUUAUUUAAUUUAUUUUUUCACUAUGUUGUAUCUUAUUAAGUUCUUUUUUUUUUCUUUUUGGUUACAAGAAUUAUAUUUUGGCUUAGAAGAUUACUUCUUAAAUUAUUUUAAUGAUAAUAAAAAUUUUAUUUUCAAAAAUUACUUCAAAAAAAGGUUAAAAUAACUUGGGCCUUUUUCAGCCCAAAAUAAUUGGGCUAUUGGAUGGAAUGAAAUGGUUGGUAGAUAAAGAAUUUUGGGUUGGGCCAGCAGUACCCUUAUUUAUGAACUAUGAGAUUAAUGAAGGGGUGCCAAUAGUCCAAUUCUUUUGUUAAUCCCACUUCUGAAAAAGGUUAAAAUACAUUGAGCCUUUUGCAGCCCAAAACAAUUAGGCUAGGUAAAGAAUUUGUGUUGGGCCAACAGUACCCAUAUUUCUGAAUAUUUUAUGAGUUUAAUAUAAUUAUCUUACUUAUAAAUUUUGGGUUAAUUGGAUUCAAAAACUAGUUUGAGAAUCUUUAAGAAAUUAGUUAAAUUGGGGUAAAAUUUUAUUUAAUUUAUUUUUUCACUAUGUUGUAUCUUAAUUAAGUUGUUUUUUUUUUCUUUUUGGUUACAAGAACUAUAUUUUGGCUUAGAGGAUUACUUCUUAAAUUAUUUUAAUGAUAAUAAAAAAUUUAUAUUGUGCUAGCAAAAGAAAAUUGAGGAGAAAAAGAAAAUAUAAAUGAUUUUAAUUAUAUUUAUAUUUAUCCUUAAAUGUAAUUGUAAUAUAACAAAAAUUUUAUGAGAUUAAUGAAGGAUGUCAAUAGUCCAACUCUUCUGUUAAUCCUACUUCCGAAAAAUGUUAAAAUAAAUUGGACCUUUUUCAGCCCAAAAAAAUUGGGCUAUGGAUGGAAUGAAAUGGUUAGUAGGUAAAGAAUUUUGGGUUGGCCAGCAGCACAAAAUGCUUCAAUGAUUCUCUAUCAAUAAAAAGUACAAUAAAAUCAAAACUUUUAGAAGCGGUUAGUAACGGACUUAAUUUUACCGCCAACACAAUGAGUGAUGGCCGUAUCUUCACUUCCACCACGUCUCAACAGAAUUUAUAGAAGUUCAACGAUUAAUCAGUGGAACUCACAAAUAAGAGAAGCAGUGAACAAAAACGAAGCCCACAAAACUCUUCUUCUCUUUCGCCAAAUGAAACAAAACGACAUCGAACCAAACAACUUAACAUUUCCCUUCAUAGCCAAAGCUUGUGCUAAGCUCUCUGACCUUAUAUACUCCCAAAUGAUUCAUGGCCACAUCGUGAAAUCACCCUUUGGUCCGAUAUCUUUGAGCAAACAACAAUGGUGGAUAUGUAAGUGAAAUGUGAUCGGUUAGAUUGCGCGUAUAAAAUAUUUGACGAAAUGGCUGUCAGAGACGUCGCGUCGUGGAAUGCGAUGCUUGUGGGGUUUGCUCAGAUGGGGUUUCUUGAAAACGUUUUGCGUCUUUUUUAUAAUAUGAGGCUUGUUGGAAUCCAAGCUGAUUUUGUCACGGUUAUGGGGUUGACGCAGGCGGCCAUACAUGCAAAGCAUUUGAGCCUUCUGAAAAGCGUUCAUUCGUUUGGCAUUCAUAUUGGGGUUGAUGCUGAUGUGUCAGUUUGUAAUACAUGGAUUUCUUCCUAUGCUAAAUGUGAUGAUUUGAAGAUGGCGGAGUUGGUGUUUUGUGGGAUAGAAGAACGUUUAAGGACUGUAGUUUCAUGGAAUUCUAUGGUCGCCGGAUGCACGUAUGGUGAUAAGUUUGAUGAUUCUCUUAAUUUUUAUAGGCACAUGAUGUAUAAUGGAUUUAGGCUUGAUGUAACUACAGUUGUUAGCCUUCUUUCAUCAUUUGUGUGCCCAGAGGCAUUAGUGCAAGGUAGGUUGGUUCACUCUCAUGGAAUUCAUUAUGGCUUUGAUUUAGAUGUAUCGGUGAUUAAUACACUGAUUUCAAUGUAUUCCAAGUGUGGAGAUAUUGAUUCCGCUAGAGUUUUGUUUGAUGGCAUAUGUGACAGGACUCGUGUUUCUUGGACUGCAAUGAUUAGUGGGUAUGCUCAGAAACGAUACCUGGAUGAAGCGUUGAGAUUGUUUUUCGCUAUGGAAGCUGCAGGUGAAUUACCUGAUUUGGUCACUGUGCUGUCAAUGAUUUCAGGCUGUGGGCAAAGCGGUGCACUUGAGCUUGGAAAGUGGUUUGACAAUUAUGCCUGUUCUG
rnacentral:lncRNA from 1 species